CGCGCGGUGCCCGCCGGGAGUUGUGGUCCCGCCCCUUUCGCCGUUGAUCCCGGAAGUGCCCGGAUGGAGCCGGCGCGAGGCGGCCCCGGGGGGGCUCCCCCCCGGCCUCCCGCGCCCGGCGAGAAACGGAGACCGGAACAGAGCGAGGGGCCGCCCCUGCCCAAGCUGGGUCUCUCCGAGGCCGCUGCGGCCGCUCGGCUCCGGGCGCUGCCGGCACAGCACGACCACGGAUACAGCGGGAACGGGCUGAGGCUCCCCCCGCACUGAGGCCGCGCCCGCCCCUCCCCCACCACCGGCACCAGGAGGAGCCACCGGAGGGGGUGGGGGAGGGGCCGCCCCUCCCCCACCCCCCUUCAAAACCUGCCCCUCCC